rnacentral:rRNA from 1 species
AGGAUGAGACUGCGUCCGAUUAGGUAGUUGGUGGGGUAACGGCCCACCAAGCCUGUCAUCGGUACGGGUUGUGGGAGCAAGAUCCCGGAGAUGGAUUCUGAGACAUGAAUCCAGGCCCUACGGGGCGCAGCAGGCGCGCAAACUUUACAAUGCGAGCAAUCGUGAUAAGGAAACCCUGAGUGCCUGUUGAUGCAGGCUGUUCAUUAGUUUAAAUUGCUGGUGAAGAAAGGGCAGGGCAAGACCGGUGCCAGCCGCCGCGGUAAUACCGGCUGCUCGAGUGAUGGCCACUAUUACUGGGUUUAAAGCGUCCGUAGCUUGAUUGUUAGGUCUCUUGGGAAAUCUUCAGGCUUAACCUUAAGGCGUCUAAGAGAUACCGGCAAUCUUGGGACUGGGAGAGGUAAACCGUACUUCGGGGGUAGGAGUGAAAUCUUGUAAUCCUCGAGGGACGACCUAUGGCGAAGGCAGUUUACCAGAACAGCUUCGACAGUGAGGGACGAAAGCUGGGGGAGCAAACGGGAUUAGAUACCCCGGUAGUCCCAGCCGUAAACAAUGUGCGUUAGGUGUAUCGGCAACCACGCGUUACUGAUGCGCCGCAGAGAAAUCGUGAAACGCACCACCUGGGAAGUAUGGUCGCAAGGCUGGAACUUAAAGGAAUUGGCGGGGGAGCACCACAACAGGUGGAGCCUGCGGUUUAAUUGGAUUCAACGCCGGACAUCUCACCG